CUACGGGGGACACCAGUGGGGAAUAUUGCACAAUGGACGAAAGUCUGAUGCAGCAACGCCGCGUGGAGGAUGACACAUUUCGGUGCGUAAACUCCUUUUAUAUAGGAAGAUAAUGACGGUACUAUAUGAAUAAGCACCGGCUAACUCCGUGCCAGCAGCCGCGGUAAUACGGAGGGUGCAAGCGUUACUCGGAAUCACUGGGCGUAAAGAGCGUGUAGGCGGGUAGUUAAGUCAGAAGUGAAAUCCAAUAGCUCAACUAUUGAACUGCUUUUGAAACUGAUUACCUAGAAUAUGGGAGAGGUAGAUGGAAUUUCUGGUGUAGGGGUAAAAUCCGUAGAGAUCAGAAGGAAUACCGAUUGCGAAGGCGAUCUACUGGAACAUUAUUGACGCUGAGACGCGAAAGCGUGGGAAGCGAGCAGGAUUAGAUACCCUAGUAGUC
rnacentral:rRNA from 1 species